rnacentral:rRNA from 1 species
UGUUCUUUAAAUGAGGACUAGUAUCAACGGCAUCACGAGGAUCCUACUGUCUCCCCCCUCUAAUCAGUGAAACUGAUCUCCCCGUGAAGAAGCGGGGAUAUACAUAUAAGACGAGAAGACCCCAUGGAGCUUUAAACCUGACAGCACCCGCUCAUUCUAUACCCCAUUAUUUGCCCGACCCCUGUCUGCUCAGUUUUAGGUUGGGGUGACCACGGAGUAUAAAAUAACCUCCAUGAAGAAGGGGAUAUUUCCCUUAUUAGAGAACCACACUUCCAAGAACUAAUAAAUUAAUUUUCAAUGACCCGAUACCCGAUAAUCGAUCAACGAACCAAGUUACCCUGGGGAUAACAGCGCAAUCCACCCUGAAAGCCCUUAUUA